GGAUGGUCUCUUUGGGAGGCAGACAGAAUUCUGCACAUAGAAUCAGCUCAUCCUAACGUAGAGGAUGCUAAGCUGUUUGGCUCUGAUUAUUCCGAAGAUCCCACUUUUCUUUUUUUUAAAUCUGUUAGCGUGACUGCUUGUCACAUUGUCAUAUUAUUGUGUUCCUUGCCUUAGGACAG
rnacentral:lncRNA from 1 species